rnacentral:rRNA from 1 species
GACGACGCUGGCGGCGUGGAUUAGGCAUGCAAGUCGAACGGUAUCAUCCUUUCGGGGGUGAGAGAGUGGCGAACUGGUGAGUAACACGUAGGUUAUCUACCCUCAAGACGGGGACAACCCAGGGAAACUUGGGCUAAUACCGGAUGUGAGCAACUUUUAGUUGUUUGAAAGGUGGCGUAAGCUGUCGCUUGGGGAUGAGCCUGCGUCCUAUUAGUUAGUUGGUGAGGUAACGGCUCACCUAGGCAAUGAUAGGUAGGCGGCCUUAACGGGUGGUCGCCCACACUGGGAUUGAGAUACGGCCCAGACUCCUACGGGAGGCAGCAGUCGAGAAUAGUCUACAAUGGUCGGAAGACUGAUAGUGCGACGCCGCGUGAACGAUGAAUCCCUUCGGGGUGUAAAGUUCCUUUAUAUGUGAGCAGUGCUUCUUAUAUUAACAGUAUGGGGAGAGAGAUAUUAGCAUAUGAAUAAGCAACGGCUAACUCCGUG